ACAGCAGUAGCCGCGGUAAUACGUAGGUGGCAAGCGUUGUCCGGAAUUAUUGGGCGUAAAGGGCUCGCAGGCGGUUUCUUAAGUCUGAUGUGAAAGCCCCCGGCUCAACCGGGGAGGGUCAUUGGAAACUGGGAAACUUGAGUGCAGAAGAGGAGAGUGGAAUUCCACGUGUAGCGGUGAAAUGCAUAGAGAUGUGGAGGAACACCAGUGGCGAAGGCGACUCUCUGGUCUGUAACUGACGCUGAGGAGCGAAAGCGUGGGGAGCGAACAGGAUUAGAUACCCCAGUAGUCCCUGUCUCUUAUAC
rnacentral:rRNA from 1 species